GCCCCCCACGUCCCCCCAGUAGGAGAGGGAGGGUCUCCGAUUGGAAGCCAAGGGGGGGGCACAUCUGCAACUAGAGAUGAGGUGCUGAGGCUGGCCCAGGUGGCUGCGCUGACACGUGGGGAGAGCUGACCCGAAACGCGGCCAGCACCAAGGUGAGGGACGGCCAGGAGGGCCAGCAGGUUGUGCGCACACUGUGACCGUUACCGUCCUCCGCAGCGUGAUUCACACCUCGCAGAGAAAGGCUGAAACGAAGAAAGGGAUAAAGAAAACAGUGACCAGAAAAGGCGCGCAGCAGCUCAGAAAACAGAACAUCUGUGAAGGCAGGGUUGGCACAUAGACCACGUCCCUCCACCCCUGGAAACCUGCAGCGGAUCUCAGUGACAAGGCACACCUCUCAGCACGUGGGACCAGGGGGACUGCUAAGCAAGCCGCGGAGGCACUCAGGUCUGUUAUCCAGAUGGCAAAACAAGCCAGGGCAGACGCCACCAGGGCUCGGGUCUCUUCUGCUCCCUCUUCCUCACUGACUGGACCCCGAUUUUGAGUGGGUGCAACGUGCCAGGCAACCCCACCCCCUCCCAGCCUCCCUGCAGCCUGGGCCUGCGAGAGAGAAGUCUCCUGGGCAGGGCUCCGAGGAGGUCACCAAGCCCCUGAGCUGGGCCCUCCUGGCCCUUCCCUGCCCUCCUGCCCUGGCUGAGCACAGGUGCCAGGCAGCCAAGAGCACUUUGGAAGUCACAUCCCAGAGAGGGAGACCGACAGGGAAACUGGCCCUUGGGGACAUCUCGGAGCAAGUCAGCGGCUGGGGCCUGCUCAGCCCGCGUCUCUGGCACCAGGUGACAGUGACCUGCACGCGGCCGCUGGGACCUGUUGUGCUUUCCUUGCCGCCAAAAGCCCUCCGGAGACGAGGAGAUGCAGGGACUCCCCGGGACUCUGUGACCAGUGUCCCUCCUGCAGCUCAGCCUUCCUCUAGGAGAACCGAACUAUAGCUGGAGCCUGGCCCGGCCUCUCCUGGCCGAAUCAGCGUCUGCCGCCCUCCUCUGGGCCACACGGGGGCAGGUGGAGGGACCCUUGAAGGGAGUCGGCUUUCGGGGAAGGCUCCGUUCUCCAGAUGGCGGGACUCACGCCCGGUCUGACCCGCGGGAGACACAGUGGACCAGCCAGACCGGCUGCCCGCUCACGACCCCCAGCCCAGACCUGCAGACCCCCGACAGUGGCCAGGAGGCCUCGCCCACCUGUUUGUCCUCCUCUUCCCAGAAGCAGGAGGCCAGCUCCCUUUAUCUCAGGCCAAAGUCCCCCUGGGCACCAGGAGGAAUGUCACCUGUCAUCACGGGAAGGAUGAGUCACCUCCUGGUGGCUGGAGGCCACAGCCCGCCUGACCUCUCUCUCCUGGCCAAUGGCUCUCCUGGGUGGGGGGAUGGGAUUGUUGCCCUAAGACUGUGACACAGCCAUCGUCCCUGGGGUGCUGACCUGGAGCGGGCCCCAGCAGGCUAAGGGCACAGCCUGGGUUCAGAGCCCCCCCCCCCGCCCCAUGCCCUAGCCUCGUGACCUGGGCGGCCCCUUGCUAGACCUGUCGCCAGUCUUGAUUGGACAGAUGUCAGUUAGGCCAGCACUCAGGAGCAGGAGGGGUGCGGAAGGCACUCGGGCACCCGGGCCAGCCGAGCCGCGGAGCACAGGGGCAGAGACGCUCAGAACCGUCUCGACGAUGAUCUUAAUAAGUGCAAACUGUUGUGUGUUAACUGAGGUUGGGCGACUUGGAGAGAAGGAAGGAGAGGGCAUGGAGCACUGAUGAAGGGGACCUGUUGACUUCCAGGGUGUUCCAGGAGGCCCCUGGACACGUUCACAGUUGGGAAAGGCCUGAGGAGCUGGGGCAGGGUGCUCAUUGGCUACCUCUGGGAAGGGAGAGAGGGAGAGGAAAGAGCAGGUGCAAAGGCCCUGAGGCCACGGAGUGCCCAGUGUGUUCUGGGAGCAGGAGGCUAGCGUGUCUGAAGGGAGCCAGCACACAGGCAGGGGACGUGGGAACAGCAGCCACCCCAGACCUGGGGACAACCAGGACCUUGUCUUUCUGGGCCACCUGGGAGCCUCAGGAAGAUGCUGAGAAGAGGAGGGGUGGGACUUGACUUCCUUCAGGUAGUGAGACGAUGGCGGAGCGGAGGCAGCACGGGGGAGCGCUGGCAGGGUGUGGCUGUGUGGUCCUGGAAGGGGUGGGGUGGGGCUGGAGAAGCAGGACACUGAGGCUUUUGGCCGGGCCUAGAAGGACAGAGGCGCCAUUUUUGAGGCCAAGGGGACUGUGGGGGAACAAGGGGCUCUGCUCUUCCCAGGUCCCCACCCAGCACGUUCCUCUGUGGCUGGACAUUCAAGCCCGAGUUCUAGGCAGAUGGGCAGCAGGACGGAGUGCCUGGACGUUCUUGUGGACACGGUAUUCAGAGCCUCUAUUUCUCUAUGAGUAAAUGGGGCCCACGUGGCCUCUGUCUGCAAGGUGCUAUGAAGUUGGAUUAAGCAUGAGAGGCCCCAGGCAGGGCCCAUAGCAGGUGAGGAAGGGGACAUUCAGAGUGGUUAAGUAACUGAUCCAAAGUCACACAGCUUGGACGCAUCCUGGCUAGGAUUCAUGAGCUGAAUCAGGACUCCUGCUCUUGGCCUUCGACCCUGCUGCCUGCUCCCAGCACCUGGCCCUGCAGUCCUGAACUGACCAGGCCACGGCAGCCGCCGUCAGGUGGGGAGAAGACCAUGAAACGGAAAUCGCUCCAGGCCCGACCAGACCUGCCCCACUGGGACCCAAACCAGACUCGGCCUGUGGUUGAGGAACAUGACGAUGCUGGAUGCCCGAGUCACACCAGGUCUCCCCUCCACCAGCCACGUGUCCUGGAGGGGUGACGCAUACCCGUGCCUCGGGUUCCCCACUUGUGAGGGGAGAUGAUGGGGUUUCGGGAGGACUGGUGGCGUGGCCCAGGCAGAGUGCCUACAACCAGGCCAGGAACUCAGUAGGUGUCUAAUAAAUGCAGGCUGCUGCUGCUGCUGUU